rnacentral:rRNA from 1 species
AUGAACGCUAGCGGCAGGCUUAAUACAUGCAAGUUGAGGGGCAGCAUGAUAUACGCGAGUAUAUUGAUGGCGACCGGCGGACGGGUGAGUAAUAGGUAGGAACCUACCUCAUACGAGGGGGAUAGCAUAGAGAAAUCUGUGGUAAUACCCCCAUGAGGUUAUAUGAAUAGAGGCAUAUAAUCAAAGCAUAAGCGAUUAUGCGGUAUGAGAGGGGCCUACUGACCAUUAGCUAGUUGGUGAGGUAAGGGCUCACCAAGGCGAAGAUGGUUAGGGGUUUUGAGAGAGAGACCCCCCACAUUGGAACUGAGAGACGGUCCAGACUCCUACGGGAGGCAGCAGUAGGGAAUAUUGGGCAAUGGGCGAAAGCCUGACCCAGCCAUGCCGCGUGAAGGAAGACGGCCUUAUGGGUUGUAAACUUCUUUACUACGCGAAUAGAGGUUAGUACGAGAUACUAAUAGGAAGGUAGUGUAGUAAAAAGCACCGGCCUAACUCCGUG